AUUGAACGCUGGCGGCAUGCCUUUACACAUGCAAGUCGAACGGUAACGCGGGGCAACCUGGCGACGAGUGGCGAACGGGUGAGUAAUACAUCGGAACGUGCCCAGUAGUGGGGGAUAGCCCGGCGAAAGCCGGAUUAAUACCACAUACGACCUACGGGUGAAAGCAGGGGGAUCGCAAGACCUUGCGCUAUUGGAGCGGCCGAUGUCAGAUUAGGUAGUUGGUGGGGUAAAAGCCUACCAAGCCUACGAUCUGUAGCUGGUCUGAGAGGACGACCAGCCACACUGGGACUGAGACACGGCCCAGACUCCUACGGGAGGCAGCAGUGGGGAAUUUUUGGACAAUGGGCGCAAGCCUGAUCCAGCCAUGCCGCGU
rnacentral:rRNA from 1 species